CCUAGGAAUCUGCCUGGUAGUGGGGGACAACGUUUCGAAAGGAACGCUAAUACCGCAUACGUCCUACGGGAGAAAGCAGGGGACCUUCGGGCCUUGCGCUAUCAGAUGAGCCUAGGUCGGAUUAGCUAGUUGGUGAGGUAAUGGCUCACCAAGGCGACGAUCCGUAACUGGUCUGAGAGGAUGAUCAGUCACACUGGAACUGAGACACGGUCCAGACUCCUACGGGAGGCAGCAGUGGGGAAUAUUGGACAAUGGGCGAAAGCCUGAUCCAGCCAUGCCGCGUGUGUGAAGAAGGUCUUCGGAUUGUAAAGCACUUUAAGUUGGGAGGAAGGGCAUGCACCUAAUACGUGGGUGUCUUGACGUUACCGACAGAAUAAGCACCGGCUAACUCUGUGCCAGCAGCCGCGGUAAACAGAGGGUGCAAGCGUUAAUCGGAAUUACUGGGCGUAAAGCGC
rnacentral:rRNA from 1 species